rnacentral:tRNA from 1 species
GAGAAAUUAGUUAAAAUAUAACAUUAGCAUGUCAUACUAAAAUUAUUAAAUCUUAAUAUUUCUCU